GACGAACGCUGGCGGCGCGCUUAACACACGCAAGUCGAACGGAAAGGCCCUGCUUUUGUGGGGUGCUCGAGUGGCGAACGGGUGAGUAACACGUGAGUAACCUGCCCUUGACUUUGGGAUAACUUCAGGAAACUGGGGCUAAUACCGGAUAGGAGCUCCUGCUGCAUGGUGGGGGUUGGACAGUUUCGGCGGUUGGGGAUGGACUCGCGGCUUAUCAGCUUGUUGGUGGGGUAGUGGCUUACCAAGGCUUUGACGGGUAGCCGGCCUGAGAGGGUGACCGGCCACAUUGGGACUGAGAUACGGCCCAGACUGCUACGGGAGGCAGCAGUGGGGAAUAUUGAACAAUGGGCGGAAGCCUGAUGCAGCAACGCCGCGUGCGGGAUGACGGCCUUCGGGUUGUAAACCGCUUUCGCCUGUGACGAAGCGUGAGUGACGGUAAUGGGUAAAGAGGCACGGGCUAACUACGUG
rnacentral:rRNA from 1 species